UACGAAGGGUGCAAGCGUUACUCGGAAUUACUGGGCGUAAAGCGUGCGUAGGUGGUUCGUUAAGUCUGAUGUGAAAGCCCUGGGCUCAACCUGGGAAUUGCAUUGGAUACUGGCGAGCUAGAGUGCGGUAGAGGAUGGCGGAAUUCCCGGUGUAGCAGUGAAAUGCGUAGAGAUCGGGAGGAACAUCUGUGGCGAAGGCGCUCUACUGGGCCAUUACUGACGCUGAUGGACGAAAGCUAGGGGAGCGAAAGGG
rnacentral:rRNA from 1 species